UUGUAGUUCUGCACCGAGAUCUGGUCGUUGAGGAACUGCACGCAGAGCCUGGUGACCUGCGGGAUGUGCAGGAUCUUGCUCACCGACAGCACCUCCUCCGCCGUGUCCAGGGACAGGGUCACGUUGGCCGUGUAGAGGCUGGCGACUUCGCUGCUGAGCUGAAACUGCUAAUUUCUGUGACCAGCUUUUUUCUUAGCUGUGAUCUGGAUGAAUGAGUAGCUGUCUCACAGAGAUGACAAAAAUAAACUCUAAUCCCCCCCAAAAUUUCCACCACAUCUUUCUCAUGCAUAGAUUUAUGAUCUUCAAGCGCUCCGUGCAAUAUGCAAACUUUUUUUUGUGUAUCCGUAUGUAAGCUGUUGUCUCCAGAUUUCACUGUAGUGGUAGGCUGCUCGCCGCCCCCCCCCCCCCCCACACACACACACACCCACCACACACACACACCAUGAAAUGCAGAAACUGCCUGGCUCAGAGGGUGCCAAGGUGCCACUUGACAAUGUCUCCCAUAUUUGGGGUGUGAGUCUGAAGACACUGGCCCUUGCCUGAGGGGGUGGGGGAUGGGAGGCAGCACUGGCUCCCAUUUGUUUCUCUGCACCAUCCAAGCCCUGGGAGCUCCUGGGGAAACAUUCCCUCCAUCAUUUUGUGUGAUUCAACAACCCUCUCUGAACUUCGCUGUCAGCUCCACAGAUAAGGGUUCAGAAGGCACAUUUUUUUUUUUAAUUAUUAUUGGAAGAUUAUCUUAGUGUCAGAUUUGUCUUCCCAUUAGGAGUCUUUUGAUUUACAAGGGCUGGAACCAAGCCCUAGGAAACUCAGCUGCAAUUUCACAAAGGUAACCUUUCAACUCUGAGGUUCAUCUGAUAAAUAAGGUCAACCGCGGAGGGCUCACAUUCCUGACCCUGCUUAGCAUGCAGAGCGACCCCAGCGGGAGGCCCAGGCCCAGCUGGGCCAGAGGCUCCUGUGCAGUGGGUGGAGGACAGGCUCCCUGCUCCCUAGACUUACCCCCUGAUGUACUGCGCCAUUAUGUUUAUGGCCCUGCAUUUUGGCUGUCAAUGGGGGUUGGAGGUGUCCAAGAAAGAAAGAAAGAAAGAAAAAAAGCAGAAACAGGAAGGUACGCCCUUGAACAAAAUAAACGUGGAAGAAAGCUA